GCAAGUCGAACGGCAGCAUAGAGAGCUUGCUCUCUGAUGGCGAGUGGCGAACGGGUGAGUAAUAUAUCGGAACGUGCCUAGUAAUGGGGAAUAACUAGCUGAAAGGUUAGCUAAUGCCGCAUACGACCUACGGGUGAAAGCAGGGGAUCUUCGGACCUUGCGUUAUUAGAGCGGCCGAUAUCUGAUUAGCUUGUUGGUGGGGUAAUGGCCUACCAAGGCGACGAUCAGUAGCUGGUCUGAGAGGACGAUCAGCCACACUGGAACUGAGACACGGUCCAGACUCCUACGGGAGGCAGCAGUGGGGAAUUUUGGACAAUGGGGGCAACCCUGAUCCAGCCAUUCCGCGUGAGUGAAGAAGGCCUUCGGGUUGUAAAGCUCUUUCG
rnacentral:rRNA from 1 species